GGGGCUUUAGCUCAAUUGGUAGAGCGCAACACUGGCAGUGUUGAGGUUAUCGGUUCGAAUCUGAUAAGUUCCA
rnacentral:tRNA from 1 species